AUUGAACGCUGGCGGCAGGCCUAACACAUGCAAGUCGAGCGGAAGCAGAGUGCUUGCUCGUGGUUUCAGCGGCGGACGGGUGGGUAAUGCCUGGGAAUCUGCCUGUCAGUGGGUUCGAGGGGCAGAAAGCGGGGGAAAUUACGCCAAUAGCGCAGAGGACGUACGGGGGAAAGCUUGGGACCUCCGGACCUCGAGCGAUCGAAGGUGCGGAUGUCGGAUUAGCUAGUUGGCGGGGUAAAGGCCCACCAAGGCGACGAUCCGUAGCUGGUCUGAGAGGAUGAUCAGCCACACUGGAACUGAGACACGGUCCAGACUCCUACGGGAGGCAGCAGUGGGGAAUAUUGGACAAUGGGCGCAAGCCUGAUCCAGCCAUGCCGCGUGUGUGAAGAAGGCCUUCGGAUUGUAAAGCACUUUUGGUGGGGAGGAAGAGCAGUAAGUUAAUACCUUGCUGCUUUGACGGUACCAAAAGAAUAAGCACCGGCUAACUUCGUG
rnacentral:rRNA from 1 species